AUCAGUGACAAGUGCUGAGCGGAGCGAUUGCAUCUGUGCUCCCAGGCGUCGAGCGGCGGACGGGUGAGUAAUGCAUAGGAAUCUGCCCGGGAGUGGGGGAUAACCUGGGGAAACUCAGGCUAAUACCGCACACGUCCUACGGGAGAAAGCAGGGGAUCUUCGGACCUUGCGCUAUCGGAUGAGCCUAUGUCGGAUUAGCUGGUUGGUGAGGUAACGCUCACCAAGGCCGCGAUCCGUAGCUGGUCUGAGAGGAUGAUCAGCCACAUCGGGACUGAGACACGGCCCGAACUCCUACGGGAGGCAGCAGUGGGGAAUAUUGGACAAUGGGCGAAAGCCUGAUCCAGCCAUGCCGCGUGUGUGAAGAAGGCCCUCGGGUUGUAAAGCACUUUCAGUGAGGAAGAAGGCUUGUGGGUUAAUACCCUGCAAGAAGGACAUCACUCACAGAAGAAGCACCGGCUAACUCCGUGCCAGCAGCCGCGGUAAUACGGAGGGUGCGAGCGUUAAUCGGAAUUACUGGGCGUAAAGCGCGCGUAGGCGGCUUGAUAAGCCGGUUGUGAAAGCCCCGGGCUCAACUGGGAACGGCAUCCGGAACUGUCAGGCUAGAGUGCAGGAGAGGAAGGUAGAAUUCCCGGUGUAGCGGUGAAAUGCGUAGAGAUCGGGAGGAAUACCAGUGGCGAAGGCGGCCUUCUGGACUGACACUGACGCUGAGGUGCGAAAGCGUGGGUAGCAAACAGGAUUAGAUACCCUGGUAGUCCACGCCGUAAACGAUGUCGACUAGCCUUUGGGGUCCUCGAGACCUUUGUGGCGCAGUUAACGCGAUAAGUCGACCGCCUGGGGAGUACGGCCGCAAGGUUAGAACUCACAUGAAUUGACGGGGGCCCGCACAAGCGGUGGAGCAUGUGGUUUAAUUCGAUGCAACGCGAAGAACCUUACCUACCCUUGACAUCCAGCGAACUUUCCAGAAGAUGCAUUGGUGCCUUCGGGAACGCUCAGACAGGUGCUGCAUGGCUGUCGUCAGCUCGUGUUGUGAAAUGUUGGGGUUAAGUCCCG
rnacentral:rRNA from 1 species